GCUUUGGAGUUAAGUAUCCACACACACACCCAUGAACAGCCUCACACAUGUGUAAAGUUCCUGGUGUCUCUACAACACUAAAGAGCCAGGCAUAAACCGGAAGACGCCGCUUGGGUCUGCCAGUGAUUAGGAUGCUUCCGCAUGUAACCAUCUGUACUCCGAAAGAAACUGCGGGAUGACGGUUCCGAAGUGGCGUAGCAAUCACGUGAUUAUUAUUAUUAUGACCAUUAUCGUCUUAUUAUGCGCCUUAUCAG